ACUUAUCCCAUUUAUAGUCCCUCUCAGUUCAACUUUGGUCGGCUAUUAAAAAAGUACAUUAUGAGAGUCCUCAGCAUCAACAUCUUAAAACUUGUCAUCGCUGCUAUUGUGUAUUGUGUCUUAACCGUUCUACCACCCGAAACAGAUAAAAUUAAUGCUAAAUGUGCAGUUUUCAAGCGAGAGGUCCCAAAUGUGUUUCACUUAGGGACAAAAACCGAAUACCAAUUCCGUGGUAUAGGACAACAGUAACUUUUUAAAAUGUAUUUCAAGGUGUAAAAACGCAAAACCCAUAAUUAUUAUAUUUGUUUCAAAACAUAUACCAAAAAUAAAUCAUGCGCGCCUUAGCUUUAGCUGCAUUUUAAAAUAAA